UACGUAGGGGGCAAGCGUUGUCCGGAAUCAUUGGGCGUAAAGCGCGUGUAGGCGGCUCGAUAAGUCUGCUGUGAAAGUCCAGGGCUCAACCCUGGGAUGCCGGUGGAUACUGUCGAGCUCGAGUCCGGAAGAGGCGAGUGGAAUUCCUGGUGUAGCGGUGAAAUGCGCAGAUAUCAGGAGGAACACCAAUGGCGAAGGCAGCUCGCUGGGACGUGACUGACGCUGAGAUGCGAAGGCGUGGGGAGCAAACAGG
rnacentral:rRNA from 1 species